UACGUAGGUGACAAGCGUUGUCCGGAUUUACUGGGCGUAAAGAGCGCGCAGGCGGUCGUUCAAGUCGAGUGUGAAAGCCCCCGGCUCAACUGGGGAGGGUCACUCGAUACUGAUCGACUCGAAGGCAGGAGAGGGUAGUGGAAUUCCCGGUGUAGUGGUGAAAUGCGUAGAUAUCUGGAGGAAUACCGGUGGCGAAGGCGGCAGUCCUGGACCCGGCAUUGACGCCUGAGGAGCGGAAAGCCAGGGGAAGCAAAGCGGGG
rnacentral:rRNA from 1 species